CUUCUUCAGGAGACAGAGAAAUACAGUGGUCUUGUACUCGACUCUGCCACUAACACUGAUGUAGCUGUGGUGGAGCGUUCCCUGACUGGAGAGAGCACUGUGUCUCAAAUAUGGCCGUGGGAGGUUCAAGGCAGUGGGACCAAACAUUUCAAUCAAGAAACAACUGCAUGACCAAGUGAUGUUGACAAUGCGACUGCAAGAGGAAAACAGCAUUAUGGUGUUGGAGAUGGAUGGCACAACACUGCACAUGGUUGCAGAGCCUGCAGUGGUUCUGAAGAAGAAGAUAGCUGAGGAGGACAAGGGGAAGGAGGGACUUUGCUGUCUCUUAAGAAGACGACUGUCAGAGGUGUCAGAAAGGCUGCAAGUGCUCCUCCAACCGUACAAGACUGCUUUAGGCCCCGAGGCCUCUGCUCUUCUACAUGUUGAAGCAGAAGAUCAAGGUGGCCUCAGUAGUCCAGAUACCAGUGAGGAUGAAGAAGAAAACACAAUUUAGUCUGUUUCUCAGUCCGUAUCCAAUCAGAUGGUGGAUCAGCACCAAGAGAUGAUGUCUGCGGCCCUGAUCGUCAGCGGAGACCAGGACACCCAGAUGACCCCCAGAGACAUAUCCCCAGAUAUAUCAACCAAAAAUAACUAAAUAACUAAAAUAUAAUAAAAUACCUAACUACAUAAUACUACUAUUGUUAGAAAUUGCAACAAAAUUAAAAUAGAAAUAUAAACUUUUGAACUGCGGGUUUCGUCUGGUCAGAGGAGAACUGGCCCCCCGACUGAGCCUGGUUUCUCCCAAGGUUUUUUUCUCCAUUCUGUCUCGGAGGGAGUUUUGGUUCCUUGCCGCUGUCGCCUCUGGCUUGCUCAGUUGGGGACACUUAAUUUCUAGCGAUUAUCGCCGAUUUGAUUGCACAGAUACUAUUUAAACUAAACUGAGCUAGACAAUGACAUCUCUGAAUUCAAUAAUGAAAUGUCUUUAACUGAAAAUUGAGUGUUUAAUCUUAUCAUUAUACAUUACUGACACUCUGUCCUCUAAUUUGAUACUGUUAAGUGCUUUGACACAAUCUGUAUUGUUAAAAGCGCUAUAUAAAUAAAGGUGACUUGACUUGACUUGACUUGACAACAGCGGCUAUCAAUAGUAUAUAUUCGUCAUUUAAAAGGAGAAACCAAAACAAGAAUAAGAGAUAUAUGCAGAUAUACGAAACGUAAGCAAAGCAGCACUUGCUUACCAUUUUGAAUAUCAGUUAUGUUGAUAACUUUCUUCAUUUUAAGCGGCUCAUGUUGUUAUGAAAAUAUUUGCAUAUUGUAAUGCAGCAUUCACGUAACAUUAGAACAGUCCUCUGUCUGUGCCGCCUUCAUUUACUUCCCAUUUUCAUCACUUUCGCUUUAAUUCUCGGGCACUGACUCAUUCACUAAACUUGUCUCCAAUGUUCCUUAUUUUUUUAUGAACAAAACUAUUCUCUAUUGGGUGGACAUUUUGCCCACCUGAGUAAAAUCAUUCUAUAUAACAGACCUGUACAGCGUGCACAAACACAAAGUGUGUAACUUUUAACUAUAAUGUGGUGUUUAUAUUUGAUCUGACCCUUGAUGUAACUAAAUGAUGCACAUUUAUGUUUACCUGAGAAAACAAGUGCUGUGUUACUUACCAAGAAACUCUAUUAAAAAUCAUUGAAAAAUCUCCCACAGAACAGUUCAAUUCUUUAUAAUAAUAUAAUAUAUUUUAAUGUAAUAAAUAAUACAAUAUAAUAUAAUAUAUUAAAAAAUGAAGCAGUUAUUGGGGUCAAUUAUUUAUUAGUCUAAUAAUAUAAAAUAUUUUAAACAAAUAUUUUCAGAUGAUGUAAACGAGAAUUAUUUUACAGUUAUCUAAAAAAAAAUCAUUAGUCACCUGUGUUUAACUGUAAAUGUCUUUUUGUUACCGUUCUGUGUCCAUCAUCCACUAUUUCCAUCACUUAAUCAAGUCACUAUUCAUUAAAAUAUGAUGAGGUUUUAUUUCAUAUAUCAUUGUGUUGGCUCUUGUGUUGAGCUAUUUCAUCCACAACCAUUAAAGCAUUAGAUUGUUGUAACGGUAUAGUGACGCAGUUCUAUAGUGGUUUGUCCAAGCAUUGCAGUUAUUUCACAUUUACUAGAAUUCAAUCAAAUGGCUUUACAACUCAUUUUUGUGUCUGUCCUGUGCACGGUAUAUAAUUUCUCCAGUGCAGCUUAGAGGAAACACUGCUCAUCUCGGCUCAAUUAGUAGACUCUGACUCAAUGAAGGUGGAGUAGAACACAAAACUAAUAACAUUAAUAUCAAGUGGCCAUGGCUGAUUAACAUCAUAAUGCAUUAUAUAGCUUUCUGCUUGACCCGCUGAUUCCAAUAUUCUCAUUCAACAAGCAAGAAAACAAACUUUCAUUAAAUACAAUUCUAUCAAUUGACUAAACCGUUUUCCCUUCUAGUGUGAUUUUGCUACAUUUAGAAAAAAACUGAGGUAGUGAAUAUGACUGAGUUGGUGUUAAACUUAAAUGACA